AUUUGAGUUUGAUUCUUGCUUUUUGUUUAGUUAUCUUGAUUAAUUUAUAUAUUUAAAAUUAUAAAUAUAGUAUUUAAUAGUAAUUAGAAUUUUUUAAUUUAUAUAAAUAAAUUUAGUGAUUCAUUUUUAUGGUUGAUAAAUUCUGUGCCAGCAUUCGCGGUUAUACAGUUAACUAAAAUUAAAUUUUUUGGUUCUUUAUUGAUUUAUUUGUUAGGAAUUUUAUAUUUUUUAUUUAGGUGGAAUUUAUAAUUAUUUUUUUUUUCUAUUUAUUAAUUUAUUAUACCUUUAUAAUUCAAAAUAGGAUUAGAUACCCUUUUAUGUUUAAAUUUAACUCUAACUUGAAUAAAAGUAGAUUAUUCUUCAUAACUCAAAGAAUUUGGCGGUUAAUCUUAUAUUCAGAGGAACCUGUAUAUUAAUUGAUAAACCACGAUAUUUUCUACUUUCUAUUUAUUUAUAUAUCUCUAUGUAAUGAUUGUUUUUUAAGAAUUAAUUUUCUUUUAGUUUAUUCAAUUAUAUUAGGUCAAGGUGUAGUUUUUAGAAUAGUUUAUAUGGGUUACAUUAGUUUUUAAUUUUAAUUUUAUAUUUAUGAUUAACAUAUAUAUUAUUUAGGAUUUGAUAGUAAUUUGAAUUAAUUAAUUAUUUUGAAAUUUUGUUAAGAUUAGUGUACAUAUUGCCCGUCACUCCUAUUUUAGGAUAAGUCGUAACAUAGUAACCCCACCGGAAGGUGGGGUUAGAUGAUA
rnacentral:ncRNA from 1 species